GAUUAGAAGCUUGCUUCUAUGACGUUAGCGGCGGACGGGUGAGUAACACGUGGGCAACCUGCCUGUAAGACUGGGAUAACUUCGGGAAACCGAAGCUAAUACCGGAUAGGAUCUUCUCCUUCAUGGGAGAUGAUUGAAAGAUGGUUUCGGCUAUCACUUACAGAUGGGCCCGCGGUGCAUUAGCUAGUUGGUGAGGUAACGGCUCACCAAGGCAACGAUGCAUAGCCGACCUGAGAGGGUGAUCGGCCACACUGGGACUGAGACACGGCCCAGACUCCUACGGGAGGCAGCAGUAGGGAAUCUUCCGCAAUGGACGAAAGUCUGACGGAGCAACGCCGCGUGAGUGAUGAAGGCUUUCGGGUCGUAAAACUCUGUUGUUAGGGAAGAACAAGUACGAGAGUAACUGCUCGUACCUUGACGGUACCUAACCAGAAAGCCACGGCUAACUACGUGCCAGCAGCCGCGGUAAUACGUAGGUGGCAAGCGUUAUCCGGAAUUAUUGGGCGUAAAGCGCGCGCAGGCGGUUUCUUAAGUCUGAUGUGAAAGCCCACGGCUCAACCGUGGAGGGUCAUUGGAAACUGGGGAACUUGAGUGCAGAAGAGAAAAGCGGAAUUCCACGUGUAGCGGUGAAAUGCGUAGAGAUGUGGAGGAACACCAGUGGCGAAGGCGGCUUUUUGGUCUGUAACUGACGCUGAGGCGCGAAAGC
rnacentral:rRNA from 1 species